rnacentral:rRNA from 1 species
UACGAAGGGGGCUAGCGUUGCUCGGAAUCACUGGGCGUAAAGCGCACGUAGGCGGCUUUCUAAGUCAGGGGUGAAAUCCUGGAGCUCAACUCCAGAACUGCCUUUGAUACUGGGAAGCUUGAGUCCGGAAGAGGUGAGUGGAACUGCGAGUGUAGAGGUGAAAUUCGUAGAUAUUCGCAAGAACACCAGUGGCGAAGGCGGCUCACUGGUCUGUAACUGACACUGAGGCGCGAAAGCGUGGGGAGCGAACAGG